rnacentral:ncRNA from 1 species
AUUUAAUUAAUUAUUGAGCCCGGUAUGGAAACCUACUAAGUGAGAACUUUCAAAUUCAGAGAAACCCUGGAAUUAAAAAUGGGCAAUCCUGAGCCAAAUCCUGUUUUACGAAAAUAAAUAAGAGUUCGUAAAGAAAGAAUUUAAAUAAAAAAGGGAUAGGUGCAGAGACUCAAUGGAAGCUGUUCUAACAAAUGGGGUUUGACUACCGUUAGUAAAGUAAUCCUUCUAUCGAAACUACGGAAAGGAUAAAAGAUAAACCUAUACGCAUAUCUAAAGGUAAUAAAAAAACUAUCUCAAAAAAAAAAAAGAUUUAAAUACGGGUUUGGGUCGUCUUUUUUUUUUUUUUCUGAAAAAUAGAAAGAAUUGUUGUGAAUUCGUAUUGAUUCCAAAUUGAAGAAAGAAUCAAAUACAACAUUCAUACAACAUUCAUUAAUAAAAUAAUUUACCCCAUAGUUUGAUAAAUCUUUUGAACAACUGGUUAAUCGGACGAGAAUAAAGAUAGAGUCCCAUUUUACAUGUCAAUAUAAAUGCUGACAACAAUGAAAUUUAUAGUAAGAGGAAAAUCCGUCGACUUUUAAAAUCGUGAGGGUUCAAGUCCCUCUAUCCCCA